rnacentral:lncRNA from 1 species
AAAGUGUGUCUAGAAUGCUCAAUCGCCUCCUCAUUAUGAUGAGAAUGCUCAAACUGCUCUUCUUCACCUUUUAAGUCUUUCGAAUCACAUGUUGGCUGAUUGCCUAAGUUUGUACAAUCUGCAUUAUCCAUUAACCUACAACAGAGUAACUUAAAAAUUAUAACCAAGUAACCAACUUCUGUCAUCUAAUACUGGGAAUUUUUAGUUCAAAGCUGCACAAAGACCAACAGAUGCCAAUAAGACAAUUUAACUGAAGCACAAAGAUUUUUUUUCCUUACCACCUUAGUCUCAUUUCACUGAUAUUCGAAAUCUUGAACCCAAUUACUGUUAUAUAAACUUGUAAAGGCUUAGGAAUAACAACACAACAAAUUCAAAUAUAUAUGCAUAUCAACAAUCGGCAACUAUCUUCAACCAAAUUACAACAAUCGAUAUUUAACCAAAAAAGUAAAAAGAAUCGGCAAUGGAGGAUAAUAAUGGCUCAGUCAUACCUACCCAUCAACUUGUAGCUCAAGACCUUUCGAUGUCACUCAAGAGUCAAGACCGAGGCGGGAUCGAGUCGAACUCAAAGAGAGACAUGAGGAGGAGGACGAGAAGCAGAUCGGUGAACGCGAGAGUUGGGAUCUUCGAGUCUCCACGAGAGAAGUGGGAUUUGGGACAGGAGAGUUCGUCUCCGUAGAAGCAAAGGUUUGGGUCUAUGAAGAAUUUGGGAAAUAAGGUCUCCGUUUAAUCGGAGAGAAGAGUAACAAGGCCUGGUCUCCGCUUAAUCCCAACAGAAACGAAGUCUCCAUAUG